rnacentral:rRNA from 1 species
GACGUAGGGGGCGAGCGUUGUCCGGAUUUAUUGGGCGUAAGCGUGCGUAGGCGGCUGCGCAAGUCGGUUGUGAAACCCCGGGGCUCAACCCCGGAACUGCAUCCGAUACUGCGUGGCUAGAGGUAGGUAGGGGAGAUCGGAAUUCCUGGUGUAGCGGUGAAAUGCGCAGAUAUCAGGAGGAACACCGGUGGCGAAGGCAGGUCUCUGGGCUGACACUGACGCUCAUGCACGAAAGCGUGGGGAGCAAACAGG